UGAGAAACAGUUCUAUUUGAAGGUUGCCUUUUGUAUAUUCAUAUUUAUGCAUGGCAUCUAGUGAUUAGCACCUAAUCCUCGUGAUUUUGGGAGCCUAGAAGCGACUGAAUCCAGCUCCCCCUGGAAAAUAAAAAAGACGAAAAAAAAAACAGCAUAUGCAUACAACACUCAUAGUAACAAUUAAAGUAGAAGAAAUUAGUGGAAAGGGAAAGAUAUACCAUAAAUCCAGGUCCCUCUGGAAAAUAAAGAAAGACGAAAAAAAAACAGCAUAUGCAUACAACACUCAUAGUAACAAUUAAAGUAGAAGAAAUUAGUGGAAAGGGAAAGAUAUACCAUAAAUCCAGGUCCUUUAAAAAAUUAUUGAAUAACAUAUAUAACAGAUAUAGAUACAAUUUCCAUGCUCUAACUUUAACAUCCCCAACAGUUAAGUUACCUAAAUAAUAGGCAUAAAUAUGUUUUUCUAUUAGUUCAACAGCAUGGAAAAGAAAAUAAAGAAAGAGCAAAGCAAAAGAAACAACAAUAAACUAUGGAGCAUAACUUGAUUUAAGUAAAACAAAUGCAAAUUAUAUAUUCACAAUUUAUUAUUCACCUCAUAAUCUGCCUCAGAACUUUGUUCAUCAAUACAGAACAAGAAGAAUUACCUCAGACAAAUGAGGAUAAAGACCAUUAAUGCAACCUUCACCAACUGCGCCAAGAGCCAAAACAGCAGCUUCCCUAUCUUUCCAGACUUCAUCACCAGUGGCAGCUAACUUGGC
rnacentral:lncRNA from 1 species